rnacentral:rRNA from 1 species
UUGCACCGAGAUUCAACAUGGAACGAGUGGCGGACGGGUGAGUAACACGUGGGUAACCUGCCCUUAAGUGGGGGAUAACAUUUGGAAACAGAUGCUAAUACCGCAUAGAUCCAAGAACCGCAUGGUUCUUGGCUGAAAGAUGGCGUAAGCUAUCGCUUUUGGAUGGACCCGCGGCGUAUUAGCUAGUUGGUGAGGUAAUGGCUCACCAAGGCGAUGAUACGUAGCCGAACUGAGAGGUUGAUCGGCCACAUUGGGACUGAGACACGGCCCAAACUCCUACGGGAGGCAGCAGUAGGGAAUCUUCCACAAUGGACGCAAGUCUGAUGGAGCAACGCCGCGUGAGUGAAGAAGGCUUUCGGGUCGUAAAACUCUGUUGUUGGAGAAGAAUGGUCGGCAGAGUAACUGUUGCCGGCGUGACGGUAUCCAACCAGAAAGCCACGGCUAACUACGUGCCAGCAGCCGCGGUAAUACGUAGGUGGCAAGCGUUAUCCG